CUGCCCCCGCGACUCUCUCCUCCCUGCCGCUCCUUCUCCCACGCCCCUCCUGCUGCUUCUUCUUUGCCUCGCUGCUGUUCUUCUUCUUCCUCCUCCUCGCUGCUGUUCUUCUUCUUCCUUCCCCAGCUGCUGCUCAGUUUUCUGCUGCUCCUCCUCCUCUCAACCUCUCCUCUUCCUGAACCUGCUGCUCCUCCUCUCAACGCCCUACUGCUGCAUCUCCUUUGCCAAGUCCCCACGCCGCUUCUACUUCUCUCUACGUCCAAUUCUGCCUUUCUUCUCUGAAUCUAAACUGCUGCCGCUUCUCUUCUCUCUUUUACUUUUUGCAAAUUUCUGAAAACUGUUAUGUGAAUCUGGUGUACUGUUCUGCACACAUUAUUGGUGCCCUUGUGUGUUUUAUGGUCUGGUAUAAUUUCAAUGCACUUGUGUAAAACUAUACAAUAUUCAGUUUCUAGUGUCUGAAACUCUGAAUCCUUGUGUCUAUUAUUGUUGCACUGAUUUUUGUCAACGUGAAUUGGCUAGUGUGUCGCGAGCCCAACAGUAUUGUGUCUUGUGUAAUCCAAAUCAUAUGCAUUUUGUGUGUGUGACUAAUUGUCAGCUAGUUGCUUUUAAAAAUUCUUAUUGUUUCUUGUGAAUUUUGUGUUACUUUGUGUACAAGUGAGAUGCAAGAAAUUUAAUUUUCAUUCUAUGUGAUAGCUAUGUACCAGUGACGUGUGUAUGUGAUGUUAAACAGUUGCAUUAUGUCCAUAAUCUUGUUCCUUCCCUGUGACUCAUACUUGCUAGUUAUAUAUACAUAUAUGUGUUUCAGUCUUGUUAAUUCCCUUGGUUGAAGAUGCUGGCUGUGUAGUUUCUAAUUUCUCAAGCCUAAUAAAAAUACCAAAAAGACAGAGUAAAGACAAUCUUCAUCUCCCUUUGCUUCUUCGUCAUUUUCUUUGUUGAUGAUCUUAGUUAGUCUAGUUUAAUAUUCUGUUUUUAUCACUCAAAAUUGUGUGUUCUAGCUUUAGUCUUGCACCUUCGCGGUCGCCUAGUCCCUGAGGAGAACACGACACUCGCAGUUUGGGUGUGAAAACCCUGUUGUAUUUACAAACAAUCACAUUGCUCUAUUGUAGCCUAGUUCGUUUCUAUGCUGCUGGUUGUGAAACCAAACUAGGUGGGUGGGUGUGUGAUGAGGUUUGGUUUAGUGCUUGAUGCCACCGGACUGUAGGCUCUUGUGUAGGACUACUUGUUAUAUAACUCUGGUUCCUGAUGAGGUCAUGUAUAUACUAGGCUAGUUGCACUUUGGUUCUAUCUAUUUCAAAUCAUAUUUGGUCCUGUAUGUAUGUAUGUAUGAUGCAUGUGUGCUUCGAUUUGGAGCAGCAGUAGGACGACGACGAGAGGACGAGUACCUCGACGGCGACGACAACCAGGAGGAUGAACCCACCCACAAGGGCGCCGACGCCGGCCAUCAGAACGACAACUCUUCGUCGUGCACCACCUCAGGCUGCGGCGGCUACAGGGUUAGUGAAGGAAAGAUGAAGAAAAACAAGGAAGAGGAGGAAAAGAAGGAAUAGGAAGAAGAAGAAGAAGAGGUUCUUCUUCUUCUUUUCUUCUUCUUCUAAUUUCUUACUCCCAUUUUUGCAGGUUUGAUUCACUUCAUGGAAGGGCAGAAUGCUACUGUUUAGAUGUUUGAUGUUUGAUGUAUUGGAUGUUUGUGAAACUAUGUAUAUAUGAAUUGGAUGUAUGAUGUUUGAUGUUUGAUGAA